rnacentral:rRNA from 1 species
GACGAACGCUGGCGGCGUGCUUAACACAUGCAAGUCGAGCGGAUGAGAGGAGCUUGCUCCUUGAUUUAGCGGCGGACGGGUGAGUAAUGCCUAGGAAUCUGCCUGGUAGUGGGGGAUAACGUUCCGAAAGGAACGCUAAUACCGCAUACGUCCUACGGGAGAAAGCAGGGGACCUUCGGGCCUUGCGCUAUCAGAUGAGCCUAGGUCGGAUUAGCUAGUUGGUGAGGUAAUGGCUCACCAAGGCGACGAUCCGUAACUGGUCUGAGAGGAUGAUCAGUCACACUGGAACUGAGACACGGUCCAGACUCCUACGGGAGGCAGCAGUGGGGAAUAUUGGACAAUGGGCGAAAGCCUGAUCCAGCCAUGCCGCGUGUGUGAAGAAGGUCUUCGGAUUGUAAAGCACUUUAAGUUGGGAGGAAGGGCAGUAAGUUAAUACCUUGCUGUUUUGACGUUACCAACAGAAUAAGCACCGGCUAACUUCGUGCCAGCAGCCGCCGUAAUAC